rnacentral:rRNA from 1 species
UCGGCUCUCGCAUCGAUGAAGAACGUAGCGAAAUGCGAUACUUGGUGUGAAUUGCAGAAUCCCGUGAACCAUCGAGUCUUUGAACGCAAGUUGCGCCCGAAGCCGUUAGGCCGAGGGCACGCCUGCCUGGGCGUCACAC